UUCCCUUCUGCCACCUUGUUACUGGGUGCCUAAGAGCCUGAGGAUGGGAUGGAGUUUGGGAGCUUGAGGUGAAAAAAAUAAAUCCUCUUUUGCAACCCAGAACUCAUUGUUCAGUAUGAGUUUGAUACAUGUGAGCAGGAAUAUU
ensembl:snoRNA